rnacentral:rRNA from 1 species
UACGAAGGGGGGCUAGCGUUGCUCGGAAUCACUGGGCGUAAAGGGUGCGUAGGCGGGUCUUUAAGUCAGGGGUGAAAUCCUGGAGCUCAACUCCAGAACUGCCUUUGAUACUGAGGAUCUUGAGUUCGGGAGAGGUGAGUGGAACUGCGAGUGUAGAGGUGAAAUUCGUAGAUAUUCGCAAGAACACCAGUGGCGAAGGCGGCCUCACUGGCCCGAUACUGACGCUGAGGCACGAAAGCGUGGGGAGCAAACAGG